GGACUAUAGCUCAGUGGUAGAGUGCUUGCCUAGCAUGUGUGAGGCACUGGGUUCAAUCCUCAGCACCA
rnacentral:tRNA from 1 species